GGACCGUUAGUCAAGUGGCAAAGAUUUCGCUUUCUCAUAGCGAAGACAUGGGUUCGACUCCCAUACGGUUCUCCA
rnacentral:tRNA from 1 species